rnacentral:lncRNA from 1 species
UUUUUUUUUUUUUUUUUUUUUGAUUUGCAGUUGGAGAGGAGAAAAUCAAAUACGGGUAGCCCAAGGUGGAGAAGCAGGGCACAUGCCAAAUUUCUGGGACCUUGAUAGAAAAUUUUGCAUGUGCCCUGAUCCUCCAUCUUGGGCCACUCCUAUAUUAGGCCGUGCAACUCCAAAGCCAGCAGUUCAGCAGAAAUGUUUUAUAGGUCAGUUUUUAAACUUAGCUCACGUUGUAGUGCAUUGAAGCUAUAUAUACACACUACAACAAUAUUAAAGCACUUUCCUCCACUGACAUUACCUUGUAUGUACAUAAUUGUUGAAGGACGAGUUUGCUGCCAGAGAUGAAUGGUCAAUCAUUGUGACCUUGAAUAACUUAUUCAGGUACAUAAAUAGCUGUGCUUGGCAAUCAGAUAGAUCAAAUAAGAGUUGAUAAGGUGAAAUUUAGUACAUGUUCGACUUACUCUUCUUUCAUCACUUAGGAUCUUAUCGGCUUUCCAGAGCUACUGCAGCUGAAUCGACAUGAAGAAGCAAACAGGAAUAAAUUUUUUGCUUCAAUCUAUCAACAAUUUCGCCCAACUCCUUUUUCUCUGAGUCUGCAUCAUUUCUUAGUUGAUCCAGCCAUUCGUUCGCAUGCUUAAGCUGUGACAACGUGAGAGCAAUCUGGUUACCAGGAUCUGUUUGGUUUAUAAGAUAAUCCUUUCCCUUUUUGUUCUGCUUACCCCCUUGGAAGCCUGAAUCAAGUGCCUCUUCCAAGAACUUCAAGAACCAAGCUUGUGUUUCAUUCAAAACAAUCUCUCUUAGUUCCUUGAUUUCCUUUGAACCAUCUACAUUUGCCCAUUCGAGUUUAUCGGUGACAGUCAGAUCUGUCGGAGACUUUGAAAGUUUCAUCCUAUCUCUACUAACUGAGGAAGAUAUCCUUUUGCCAUAUUUGUCUGUAUUUUGCAUGGAUGAGUUGACGGUGAAAUGAUCUGGUGUAUCCUUUGAUGAGUUUGUGGCAUUUGGAUGUUUAAUAAGCUGGUGGAGCGUAAAGAACAUUGAAAGAUAGAGAUGGGGGUUCGUUGGUGAAGCGGAUGAGCAAAGAUCAGCAAAGAUACUGGAAACACAGAAUGCAUUAUGUUCCCAGAAAGUCUGAAGAUGAUCUUAUGUAAUUCUUAAAUAAGCAAACAUUGUAGGCCUUCUGUCUACUCAAUUUACGUAUUUAAUGUCGAAUUUAAUUUUUUUUUUUUGCCAAAAGCAAAGAAUAAAAGGAACAAUUAUCUGUAACUACCUGAGGCACUUGACCAGAUUUGCUGCUGUGGAAGCUUCUUUCUGGGCUUCAGCUGCUACUGAAGAGGCCAAGUUUUUCCUCCGAAGCAAUCCCUAGGUGUAAAAGUUGAAAAUGAGAAUUAUAUCAAGAUGGUAAAUUGGUACUAUUUUAGCAAUUUUUUAUCUGUAUGGAUUAUAUGUUUUAGCAGCUAUAUCCUAUUACGACUAAAUGCCUUCUCUCUGUAGAUAAUUCGCAUUUUAAUGAUAAAAACAUCGGAUGGUUGAGUUCAUACGAGUAAUCAAAACUAUGAAAAAGGAAAGCAUAUUGGGCUACUAGAUAGGGUACUUGAUGUGUGUGUGUAUAUAUAUACCUUGCCAGGCUUCAGCAGGUUUGCAGGUAGAUUUGACCAACAUAUUCCCUCAGAAGAUUGGUGUUUGCCUCGAUUGUUAGGCAAGCAAUUCGAGUCGAUGUUUUCUUGUUUGCUGCUGGUGUGUUUGAUAGCUGGAUAUUUAGAGGAUGCAAAGGCCUCCUUGCCGUUUAAUGUGUCAAUGUCUGAGUUUGUAGUAAGUCCAUCAGGGCGAGUUCGUGAAGGAGUCAGAGUUCGAGUCUGUAGGGCAAAUUUCAACCGUCAGUCUUGUCCAGAUUAAUGAGCAUAUGAAAGUGAAUCCAAGGUUGAAGAAAAUAGACCUUAUUCUAACAUACUGAUUCUCGUUUUCUGUCAAUUGUAUCAUUUUAAUCACGGACGUUCAAAGUAGGACUGGUACAGACAAACUGCUAGAUUGCAAUUGUUCCCUCACGAAGUAUGAUCAUUAAGGCAUGAAUUUCCUUGCUUCUUUCUCAUCAAAGCAAAACUAGAAUCCUACCGAGUAAUGCAAUUAAUGUUUACUCUGUCAUCCAGACAAAGCACCGGAACAGAGAACAUACGCUACAAAUUAGAAAAGCACGUUCAUCACAUGGUUAUUUGGUGGUGAUCCAUUUCUUGCAAAUCUAUGCAUUCUCAAAGCAGAAAAUUUCUUAUGAAUUAAGACUGUCAAGGGAAUUCCUAAAUUUUGAGACAGUAAAAAGUCAGAAAAUACACAGAUGGUUCUAAGUUAGUGAUGUCAAAAGAAAUGAAAUGCUAAGAACGAUUGUACUUGUACCCCAUUAGCUCUUGCUAAGUUGGAUAAAAACAACUGAAGGGCAGUACACUAUGUUGGUAAGGAAAUUAUUUAUACCUGAACCUUGAUCUCUGCUUGUUUCCCUUUCAAAAAUCCAUUCCUCUUUCCUGCUACAGCAUUCUCACCGCCGGGGUCAGCUCCAUUUGCUUUUCCAUUUGGUGUCAAGACACCCUGCAUAUACCUUGAGGAGACAACAGCCUUGUCCUCUUUAAUAAUGAUUUUCUUUCUUUGGCCAUUUUCUUUUGCUUCUGGCGGUUCAACUGAUACUGAACUAUCUUCACCUUCCUGAUCAACUUGAACGGGGCCUUCAGAUGGCUCUAACACCUGCAUCAAAUCCUUGGGAUUACCAAUGAAAGGAUGUCGGCCUGGAAGCGGUCUAACACCAACUAAGACGGGAACUGGAGUUCCAGCCUCCAUCCUAUCAACAUAGAAGAACUGCCCAAGCUGCAGCUUGUUGUUUAAGAUAAGUUCAUUGUCAUCUUUUGACAGGGAUACAUAUGUUGAAUGUGAAGAGUCGGAGACCUUUAUGAAAAAGCCAUGGCAAGGCCACAACUCUGAUCCACUUAAGGCUGGGACAAUGCUGAUUACUUGUAAAAGGAUAGACCUAUAUUCACCGCGAACCUUAACAGAUGAGUUUAUAGUCUGCAGAAGCUUAAGCAGCACUCCAGGUGUAAGGGAUGCCAUCUCUUUUUCCUUGUUCAAGGGGAAACUGAAUUCGCUCGUGCAAAUCAGCUUGAAACUCGAGACCUGUGAUUAAUAGGUGGUAAAUCAGGUGAUUUUGCUGGUCAUGAUCAUUGAAGUAUUGCUUCUGUCAAGUGUUGAUCAAACUUAUCAACUAUGUAAGUACUACAGGAGAGUAGCAACUAGAUUCAUUUUACUCUUGGUGGAUGAAAAAUAGGUCUCAUCAAAGUGCUUGAAACAUGAACUGGGGCUACAUUGAGGUUGGUUUUUGUUUUUCUCUUGCUGGAUACCCGAUUUGAAUUAGGAUAAAAGGUUUUCCAGUAAGUCGAUGGUUGCAUUUCUUUGAUUCAUUGUCUUCGUUGUCCUAGUCUUUGAUCAAGUUAAAUGCACAGUAAAAUCAACUCUAGGAGAACCAGAAAGCAACAAGUGUUAGCGGAGAAAGACGUUUUCGGUUUGGAAACAGUUUUCCUCCAAAAAAACAGACAGGCGAUCUAUAUACUUCGCAAACCAAAAAAGAAAUAAAACGACCCACAAAACUGAUUAUCAGGAGUUUUUGCUUAAAAGACGGAGAUAGGAGAUAUGCACACCUGAAAGAAGAGCACGAGAGCCAAGGAUACAAAAAACACAAGAAGGAUAUAGAACCAAGCGUCAGCCUUUGAGGGAAGUGAUAAAAGAGUUCAAAAUGUUAAAAGGUCAGAGAUUCCAAACGAGGUGGAAGCGGACAAUGGAGUUAGCUUCAUAUUGCAGGCACGUAAUCAUCCAAACUUCACUUCCCUUGGCUUUGAAGAAAAGAGACAAUCUUUCUCGAGAAUAAAUGUCCCGAGGACAUCUUUCCUCAACUUUGAAUGACUGCUUUGCCCCCACGUCUAAAGUAAGAUGUUGAAGACGUCCUGGACGAUGCUUAAUGUGGCUAAUAUGGUAAUGUCUGUCAUGAUACCAUUCAAUAAACCCAUUAUCACACACUCAGGCAGAGGGAAUGGAGCCAUUUGGAAAGGUAGUGGAAUUGCAAUAUCUUAAUCUUGUGUGAGAUAAAAGUCAGGUCAGUUUGACCAAAUCACGUAAAUUUCCUGUGUUUCCCUGUUUGAUUUAUUUGUUUUGUUAUUAGUCUUAUUAGAUUGUCAAAAACCAUAUUAUUCUUGUUGGCCAAUUACUCGAGGCCAAACAUUGAUUUAUAUAUUAGAGAAUCAUUUGACUUCAUUGUUUCACUUUUAAAUGGAACAAAAAGUUUGACUUGUUACUCUGCUUUUCCGGUUUCGUAGUUGAAAAAACCUCACCUUUGAGUUCGACUUAAAAAAAAGCAAGAUUCAUUGGUGUCCAAACUUUAUGGGCCAUGUCAUUUAUGUUUUUGCCCUUCAAGUGCACAAGGCGGCACAAUACAGUUUCCAGCCAUACCAACUUGCCGCCACUUCUGAAGGAAACGAAAAGGAAAAGAUCGGUGGUCUUUCUUGCUUCGGAUUUUGCAAUCUGAUGCAUUGAACUCCUCAUCACCAUCAAAUUUUAUUGCUUAUUCUGCAUAGUAUAAGUGGGAGAGGGGAAGCAGGUGUUUGGGCGCGCAGUUGUUUCUACGAGACUGGGAAAAAUAGAACAUCAACUUGCCUUCGUGUGUUAGUUGACAAAACAGAGAAAGGUCUUGAAUGGUGUAACUGCUCUCUACGGCCCACCUUGCCCCUGGUCGAGUAGAAUUAGAUUACUCUUCAUAGCAAUUUCAGAUGAGAGGGUCGCAUAUCAAGUUGACAACUCUUACAGAGCUUUAGUACUUUUUGAGUUUGUGAGUUGUUUUAAACUCAACACUUCAACAUUACUGUGUAAAUGUUCCUUGCAAUUUCACUGAAAAAACUGUUCUUUCUGCAAUCAAUAUAGAAUUUUGAAGCAUGUUUCAGUUUUCACCGCUCAUGAAAAUGCUGUUGCUUCCAAUUCUGCACGAACCAGGCUAGCGUAGACACCAUCAAGGUGGGAAGCCAUAAGUUUUUCAUGGCUUCCAUAUUCUGCCACCGCACCAUCCCUCACAACUGCAAUUGCAUCUGCUUCUCUGAUUGUUGAAAGCCGAUGAGCCACCACAAUGGUGGUGGCUCUUUUAGCAAUCUUCUUGAGUGCAUCUUGGACAUGUUUCUCUGAUUCCAAGUCUAAUGCACUGCUAGCUUCAUCUAGUAAGAGCACUUUUGACUUCUUCAGUAUAGCUCUGGCUAUUGCGAUCCUUUGCUUCUGGCCACCAGACAACUGUAUCCCACUGUCUCCAACCUACAGCAGGACGAGAAUUCACUCAGCUACACAAGUCAGUUGAUAGAACAGCAAUAGGAUGCUUAAGAUUUAUUUUUCACUUUGCAGUUAUUUUUCAUUGAGUGUACUCGCAGAAAUUAUCUCAGCUGAAUGAAGCGUAGUAAGGCAAAUCAUCCAAGUAAGUUGCUAUUUGCACCAGCUCAUUCCCCUAAUAUAUUGUUUUUCACUGUUGAGGAACAUUUGAAUCUUUACCUGCUGUUAAAAGGAAUUCUCUAAUAUCAUUACAGAAUGUUUUCUCAUUAACUUGAAUUUUUGGUCAUGCAUUUAGGCUAGAUUAUAUCUCAAUACAUGUUCAACUCAAGAGAUCGACUGCAUCAGCUACCCAGAGUACUAUUUUCGUCACUUUCUAAAGUGUUUCGGUUUAGUGUAAGAGAGGUCAUAUAAUAGUAGACAUACCUCUGUCUCGUAGCCUUCAGGAAGGCCACUGAUGAAUUUGUGAAUGUAAGCUUCCUUGGCAGCAUCUUCAAUUUCGGCCCAUGAAGCGUUAGGAUUGCCAAAUGCAAUAUUCUCUCUUAUGCUUCCAGCAAAUAAGGCAGGCUCUUGACCAACUAAUGCCGUCUGCCUUCUCAACCAUUUCAAGUCAAGCUCCCUAAGAUUAACCCCUCCCAUCAAAAUCUUCCCCCGAAUUGGAUCAUAAAACCUCUGGACCAUCCAUAUUACUGUUGAUUUUCCAGAUCCACUUCCUCCAACCAAAGCAACCAUUGUCCCACCUUUUAUCUUCAGACCAAAAUCUCUCAACACGAUCACAUCAGGCCUAGAAGGGUAUGCAAAUGUCACCAUUCUGAACUCAACAUCAAAUGGCUUCAACAUUUCUAUCUUGCUGCCUUUCUGGCUUUCAUCUUGUAUUAAUGGCCUACGACUUAGUAUAUUAAGAACAGCUGGAACUGCAGUUGGGGCCAAGUAAGUGUCCGGUGCAAGUCCUGCAAGUUGUCCUACUGAAAAUGAACUCAAAACAAGUAUCAGAAAAAUCUUGUACACAUCCCCGAAGUUGGUAUAGCCUUCUUUCACAAGAUAAGCACCAAAGAAUAAAGUUAAGGUAUAAGCUCCAUACAUAGCACCUUGAGAAAACCCAAGAGCUAAACCAAGAAUUUGUGUUCUUUUGACUGAUAAUUUUUUCGGCUUAGACAAAGCUUGAUCAAAAGAUUGAACUAUGCGUUCAUGAGUUGAGAAAGUGGCCACUGUUCUGAUAUUGGACACAGCAUCUGCAGCAAUAUUGCUAGCUUUGGCAUAAGAACUAUUAUCUAGUUUUGGUCCAACAUUAAUUAUCAAGCUGAAAUAGCUUGCACCAAGAGUGAAUGGUGUAAGAGCAGCGGCCAAGAGAGUCAAUCUCCAUUCAAGAAAAAAUGAAAAACCGAGGCCAACUGCUGCAGAACUCAACCCCAUUAACAGCACUGAAAUCUUAUCGCCCAAAAUUGAUCGGAAACUAACACAAUCACUUGAGAGCCUUGACACAAGUAUCCCAGUGGAAUUCUCAUUAAUGUCAAACCAGCCAGGUUCUUGUUUUAGUAUAGCUCUGAACAAGAAAUCUCUGACUCUCUUUGUGAGUUUGGUACCAGCCCAACCACAGAGACCUUGUUGGCCUGUCAUGAAUCCUAUACACCCAAAGCCAAGUCCAACCAGAAUCAAGCAGAGCUUUCUAAUUUCUCUUUUCAAAUUUUUGGUGUUUGGAUCAAAGUAGACAUUAAGUGCUUGGCCAAGAACCAGGGGAAAGACUGAUAGAAUAGCACCUGCAUGCAUACCCAAAAGAAGCCCCAAUAACAGUAUCAUGAGUUCUGGUUUCUGUAGAUUCCAUACCUCUGAAAGUUUAUAUUUCCUCAACUCGGAUUGUUUAUCUUCUGCCUCUUCAACUUGGCCCACAUCUUGAUUGGAUUUCAAGUACUUUGAUCUUGAUAUCUCAUAUACAUUCUCUGCUUGUGAGGGAUCCUGAUUCAAUUUGGUAUGGAAACCAAUUGCAAUAUCGGAUUGUUGCAACGUUGGUUUUGAGACAGCUUCCAAAGCAAGCUUAACCAGGUUAUAGUAGGAUCCAGAAUUUUCCAUGAGUUCAUGAUGAUUUCCAAUCUCCACAACAGAACCUCUAUCAAGCACAACUAUGGCAUCCGCAUGUUUGAUUGUUGCUAGCCUAUGAGCAAUGACAAUGGUGGUUCUACCCAUUGAAAUUUUAUCUAUGGCUUUUUGAACCACUGUCUCAGAUUCAGGAUCUAGCGCACUUGUAGGCUCAUCUAGGAGAAGGAUCUUAGGGUCCUUGAUCAUUGCUCGAGCAAGGGCAAUACGCUGCUUCUGACCACCAGACAGUAAGGUUCCCCGAUCUCCUACCUGCCCAUGAGGGUGGGAUUAGAAUCUGAAGAGGGCAAAAUAUAUUGUUGUAGAUGUAACAUUUGCUCCUAUAUAAAUUGGCCUAAUUGGAUAUGUAAAAAAAUCAAAACAUUUUACCAUGGUUUCAUAGCCUUGUGGAAGUCCAGAGAUGAAACUGUGAGCAUUUGCAGCAAUGCAGGCUUUAAUUGCCUCUUUCUUGGUGGCAUUCUCCUUUCCCAUCAUCACGUUUUCUAGUAUGGUUGUUGAGAAAAGAACUGGUUCCUGACCAACCAUACCAAUCUGACUUCUCAACCAUUUAACUUGUAAUGUCCUCAAAUCGUUACCAUCAAGGGUAACAAUACCUGUCAAAUUACAGCAAAGUUACCAAUUUUUUUCUGUACACCAAAACCAAGAACCUUCAUUUGUGAUCGCUUAUCACUGAGUGUAAACCUUUUUCUUUGUUAUAGAAAGAAACAAGUAUUUAUAACAGACCAACCUUGGGUAGGAUCAUAAAAUCUCUCUAUGAGAGCAAAAAUUGUUGACUUGCCGCCUCCACUGGUACCAACUAAUGCCGAAGUCUUUGAAGCUGGAAUAACCAAGUUGAGAGACUGGAGAAUCUGGAUUGUAGGGCGAGAAGGGUAGGCAAAGGUAACACCCUUGAACUCUAUCUUCCCUCGUGGGUUGGAAAGCCUCUUCCCCUCAGCACUAUAGGGAUCAAUAUCUGGAACUCUGUCUAUAACUUCAAAUACUCUGCUUGCUGCUACGGUUCCUUGUGCAAAUUGAGCAAAAUAUGACAAGGACAAAGCCAAGCCCCUGCACAAAUGGUUUAUUUGUUUACAGGAUUUAAAUUCUGGUUAGACAUGGUAAGGUAAACAAAUGUGAUUUUAAAGUUCUGGAGAAGUCAAGUUUACUAGUUUCCAUAACAGCAGAAUGCUUUCAUUCUUUCAUCAGAGAAAGAGAGAGAGGAGUCUACCUUCCCCCUACAGUAACGCCAAAGAAACAUGCAAUGGCUUCACCUCCCUUUAUCUCUUUCCUUGCAACUAAGAUUGAUCCAUACCAGAAAGCCAAUGCCCAUGUAGCAUAUGUGACCAAAUAGAUAACUCCAAUCCCUGCUCCCUUGGCAAACCCAAUCUUUAUCCCUAAUGGCACCGACUUAUCAAGCACAUCAACGUAUUUUUCAGCUAAAAGAUCCUCUGCUACAAAUGAGAAUACAGUUCUAAUCGAUGAUAUGGCUUGCUCCGCUAUGCUGCCUGCUCUACGGUAAGAGUCCUUAAAUACACCAUCAAAGAAAAAGUCAGCAAAGAAAACUAAGCUUCUCAGAACUUACAGAAUUGUCACCGGAAAUUUUUUGUUCUUUACCUCUUCUUUUGCAGCUAAACCACCAUAUAUUGCCUUAUAGGCAAUGCCACAGAACAUAGUCAAUGGUGUGACUGCAAAGAUUGCCAGGGAAAUCUUCCAUGAUCUUAAGAAUCCAACAGUGUAACCACAUAUGAAUGUGAAGAUGUGAUGCACAAAAUGUGCCAUCUGCAUUAAACAAAAGAAAUUAAUUGAAACCAACCCUGGAAAACUUAAUGCAUGAUAUGCCUACUGUACAAGUAUACUACCACACAAAUGGUCACUGUCAGCUGAUCCAGGAAUGUUAAGGUCAGUAUUUGAAAUUCAACUCAUUCAUACCUACAUUCACAUCGCUACAUCUCUGAAUAUCUCUGUAUGUGGCAAACCAUCUAGAACUUAACUAAUUCACCUCAUUAUGUUGCAACUCUCCUUAGAUUGCUUUUAUUGAUGCAAAUUGGUGUUAGUCAAUGCAAGUCAUUAGAACAAUAACCUAAACCUAUCGUCACCUUCUCUCCCAUCACUUCCUGGAUUUGUGCAACAUCACUUGAAAUUCCGUGCAUAAUGUCACUGGUGCUGAUAUCAGUGUCAAAAAAGCCUAUAUCCUGUCGCAAAACUGCUCUUAGAUACUGAGUUCUAAUUCUGAGGGCAGAUCGUUCCCCAACCAUUCUCCAACAAGUAAUUUCUACCAUUAGAAAAAAAAUUGCAUCAAUAGCGAAUAUUAUUGCAAAUUGAAGCGUACAGAAAAUGGAGAAGAAAGUAUCUAGCCUACCCAUAUAUGCUCCAACUACCACGACUGCAGCCAAUCCAGUCAUAAGCAGACAAAUCUGAAAUAAGAGAACAUAUUAUCAGCCCAUCGUUGCAUGCUCAUAUAGAUGUAUGCUCACCUAUGUAUCUGCUGUUAUGCAUAAGGCAUAACAGCAUAGUUGUAUUGUAUUUGCAGCUAGAAUAUUGACGGAGGAAUGCCAAGUAAACUUGGUCAUACAACAUUUUUUCUUCUAACCAGUAAUUAAAAGCUGGCAACCUUAUGUUAGAACAACAUCCUACUUCUGAGUGCCCAUCACAUUACCAGAUACUGUAGUGACAAAGCGCGUACCUUUUCCACAUCUUUCAUCAUCUUUUGUAAAUCAGUUUUUGAUUCCUUUGCAAUUUUAUUUACAAACCGUCCGAAAAGAUAGGAAUACCAAGGAAGAGAUCCCCCAUUUAUCAAAGAUCCCAAACAACCUAACAGCACAAGUAACAAAUCAAAUUUGGUUGAGUACUUGAACAAACCAAACAGUCCGACUGACUUGGGCGCCCCAACAUCAUCGUCAUCAAAAUCUUGUACAUCGUAAGCCAAUUCCUGGUCAACAUCAUACCCACUGUGACUGUGAGUGCGGUACUGAUUACUUGUAGCUUCAUGAACUCGGUGAUUUGGAGUCUUAUGAUCAUUAUUAAAAGAAUACAAGUCAUCAUUGAUGUUUUCCAGGGCAUGCACUGUAUGAUCGUAGUCCCCAUGACGAUAUGGCGCUGUAGCCAAUGAUGUCCGGUGAUGAUAAUGAUGAUGAUUCUGUCCAUACUGACAGUUUAACUUCCGAUGGCUUUGUGCAUCGCCGCCAUGAAUAUGGUGGGUGGUGUGACCAGGAUUGCGAGGACCAUGACCAACGCUAUACAGGUCAUCUUCUGUUCCUUUGUGCUUAUAAGCGUUUGAUAUUGAUAACCAACUAGGGUUCUGGCGUUGGAGGUGACCUGGAUCAGUCUCUAACAAGUUGAUUUGAUGAUCUAAAUCCUCCGGUGCAUCAUAAUCAACUAAGCUCAGCUCGUCUUUGUCAGCCAAAGGCCCACUACUUGCAGCACUCCUUUUAGUAGCAGCUGACAAGUGACGAUGAGCUCCAUGCGGCAUAGUUGGUUCACGGGGAGCAAAUCUUCUUGCAGAGAACGCGUCUUCUCCAUCUCUGGCAACAUAGCUCUGUAGCUCAAGCCUUCCAGACGGUAAUGCUUCAUAAUGUCCGGAAGAAUGAUCAUAGUAUGGAUUGGUAAAGCUACGUAAACCAGCAGCAGCAGUAGUACGUGAAAGAAAAUAGUCCUUUGCUGAUCUCCUGAAUAUCCUACUGCCACUUGAAUAUCCUACUGGGCUCAGUGCAGCACUAAAAUCGCGAUUGUCACGCCAUCCAGUAGGGUUGAACUGCCAUGACAGCUCACCUUGCCAUGACCUGUCAUCAUCAGCUGCAAAAGGGCUGGCUGGAGUGGGGUUUCGAGGCCUGCGUGAGCCCAAAGGAAAGUCGUACGAAGUGGAAACUGAAAAUGAGGCGGAUUGAGGUUGAGAUCUUGCAGGGGUAGUGUGGUAUUGCCGGUGAGAAUUACGUGGGGUAGCAGGUGUUGAGUGCUCAAUUUCGGAGGAGUAUGCAUCCAUGAAUGGAAGACUCCUGUGUAAGGCUUUAAGCAGGAAUAGAAGGUAUGCAAAUUUAAAAUUUCACUAUGCUACAAGUUGAGUACCACGCGAAGGUUUCUAGAAUGAAGGUUGCUAAUCAAUCGUGACUGGAUUUGGUCCUAGGAAAAGCUGUUACGCGUGUUUCUCGAUGGAAAUCCAAAGUUCUUUCACGUCACAAAGUUUGGUUGCAUGUGAAUGUGUAGCAUUGGGGUUCAAAAGAUGCUACUAGCUGAUUGCUAGAAGCCGGCACCGUGCAUUUGAAUAGUGAAAGCCAGGAUCGCCGGCAUGACGCUUCUAGUUGUUUAAUCUUUUUAGAGAUCUUAAAUAGUAGCUUUAAUGAAUAGUUUAUUGUUUCUUAAGUUACAACGGCUGGGGUACGUGUUACUGCAGCUUGCUUGUCCCUGCCCUUACAGUGCUAGUCCUGAUCAUCAUCUUCUUCUUCAUUUGUUUGUAUAUUGGCCAUCGGCCAUCAUCAUUUCUACCGUUACAUCCUCUCAAUGGCGAUAAUCUUAUGCGAAUGACUUUUCCCAGUAAGCAUCUUGUCCUCCGAAGGACAAGUUAAGAUUCAAACCAAAAAGACAGCAUUUGGAUGUUGAUUAAACCAAUGCUAAGAUUAAGUUUGACGCAGUGCUGCAUAGUCGGAGAAUCACAUUUAGUUAAGACAAAUAAAAAGUAUGAUGUGCAACUUCAGAUGGAUUUUGAAUUUUGAUUGCAGUCCGAAAUGUCAAGAACGUCAUUCUCCGACGAGUUACCCGGCUGCGAAUGAUUAGCUAACUUCGUCUUCAAUUCAGGAUACUGGGGUGUCAAGAAUAGGGUACAAUCUGGUGGUUAAACUUUGCUGUUCUCGUCUAAACAGUUUCCGUUUGUCAUUUUGAUACGAGAAAUUAUUCUGUCUAAAAAGAAUAACGAAACCAGAGACCUUUGUCCUGUCUACACCUUCACUUUCUAAAAACCUGACCAUCUACAUAUCACGAACCCUCUAACCGGAGGGCCAGAACUCUGACUACGACUGGUUUGAAUAUGAUCUAUAUAGAAUAUGUUCACCUUCUCUAGGGCACGACUCCUUCCAAAUGUCACUUUUAGCAAUAACAGGCGUGCAAGUCUCUGGUAUUUGCUAGCGGAUGAUGGAUUUGUCAUGUUUUUGUGUCAUUUGUCCAAGGGGAAGUGCCCCGGCUUUAGCAGUCAAAACAAAAUCGAUAUAGAAAGGUCUAUAUAUUAAAGAGAGAGAGAGAGAGUGAAAAGCUGGUGAAUGUGGAAAGACUAAUAACAAAUACCAAGAAUAAUGAUUUAACCACACAAACAAGUGGCUAAGUACAGAGUCCAACACUACUACAAUCAUCCCUCUCUGUUUUAUCACAAAGCAUAACCCAAAAAUGACGCGCCCAUGUCCAACAUGCAAGAUUUCAAGAAAUUAGUCAAACAAAGUCCAUUGUCUCCUUGGCGACUGGAUUCAAAUGAAGCGGAAUAAAAACACAUUUGCCGUUUUGUUCUCCCUCUUUUCUCUGGAAAGUGGCUUACCAUUUCCAAAAUCCUUGCCUAGAUCCUAUUUCUAUAGAUGUACAAUACCAUUUCCGUAAUUAUUGACUAGAUCCUAUUUCUGUAUACGUAUAUAUAGCACAAGUUAUCUUUUAAGUUCCGAGGAGUUAACACAAAAAUUCUGAAACAGCCUCAUAAUUCCCACAUUAAACUAUCAAAAUGAAAGAAAAUACACGUGGCCUCCAUUUUUGGCUUAAAACAUUGCUAAUUAUGACAGUAAUACAAAAGCUUCCUGAUCCAUAUGACCCAAUCAUGCUAUCAUCAAGUUCAUGGAUAAUCCCUACAUUACAUGUACCAAAACGUCACCUCUCCAAGUAUUUGAAUUUGUGUUUUCAUUCUAAAAAUUCUCAAGCUAGAAAACAGCCAGUUAGUAAUCAUAAAUCUGUUUCCACAAGCAUCACUAUGGACGUCAAACUUAGAAUGCCUAACAUCUGUUUCCAGACGUUAACACAAUCUUCACGGCUGAAAUCAGCUUUGUGGCUUCCUUAUCCAUAUAUUUGGAUGCAAAAACUAGGCAAAAAUACAGAAACAUACAAAACAGGCAUCAUCUACAGCAUAUCACAAUCCAUGAAUAAAGUGAUGUUCUUGCUUUGGAUUAUCUUAAUAUGCAAUAUGUCCAAUCAUGCGAAUUCAAUGUAAUGUUCUUAAGUUAUCUGGAUCUGUAAAUAGGUCCCUCUUUGUCUCUCCCUGUACAUUUGUGUGGUUUACAAGAAUGUAAAAAUUGCAAAUAGCAAAUGUUCUCAUAUCAAGACUCCAGAAGAGUUACAUUUGGUAUGGCAUCAGCAACAAAUAGUCAACGAAGAUGUAUAGACAUUUUUGUGCUAUAGGCAUCUUAUACAAGCUGUUGCAUCGCAUAAUCACAUAGUUCUCCUUUAAAGCUGUCCCAUAUGAUUCCAACAAGAAUAUAACUUCUGAUAUACAUUCGGACAGGUGUGAUACAAAUGACAAGAUUAUAAAGAAUGCUUUUACUACCAAAAUCACAUUAGCAUUCCGCCAAUUGGAACUGUACUCUCAAAGAUAUACAUGUAUUUAAGCACUACGACCUGAAAGUUGGGCAGGCCCAAUCAAAGUUCACUAGCUCCAUCAAGUGUUUGAAAAACCAAACAGACCUUUCAUUGCAUGGCACCUCCUUGACAAUUGCUCGUUUGUUCAAACAUCACAUUGUCGAUCAUGGAAAUCACAAAGAUUUUAUGGAAGGGACUUUCUCACAGAGACUCAAUCAUCUAGGUUUUGACUCACUUCCUUUGCUCCGGAAUGAUGAUAAGGAGAAAAAUGAUCUUGGUGCUGUAAAUUCAUGGGAUGUUUUAGUCAAGUUAAACAAGAAAUCAUUUCUUAGAAAGCUGUACGCAAUAAUCUUUGCUAAGAAAUCUGACUAAAGGCAGCUACAUAGAAUUCAUUUAAAUUCAAUGAUACUAUAAAACAUUUGCUUUAGUUGUUAAGGAUGAACACCAAUCUCCUUCCUCAAUGCCGAAGUUUCCAAAAUUUUUUCAUGCUUGCAGCAAGCAACUUCUCAGAAGCAAAACUAUCACACACGAGACCUUUUUCUUUCUUAUUUAGGCCCCUUUCUUCAUCAAAUUAGUUAAACUAAAAAAAGUGAUCAAAAGAGAAGCCACUAGUGCUUCAGAGCACAGGUCAACCAAUCUAUGCAAAUAGGCAUCGAAAAUCUUCCCAGUUAAUAAUCAAAUCCAUCUACAUACAUCUAUGAGUGCAACAACAAUAGAUUUUUUUUUUUACAUACAACAACACUAGAAUCAAUGCAAAUUCAGUUAUCAUUUCCCUACUUUACAACACCAUGAGUUUGGACCCAUAAGCAGCCAAAGUAUGAAGUCAGAAUGUUGCCGAAAAUGCAGCACAAACGAGUACCUAGUGAGACUUUGAAGAAAUAUGAAUUCUGAAACCUCACCACAUAAUAUCAACAGAAAGUACCCUCAUUUGUAAAGUAACAGGAAAACCUAUUUGACAAACAGAGUGGGACUUCAGAUCACAGAACAGCUGUUUGAUCAUCAACUUAUACUGUAGUCACUGAGAAGUUAAAACAGAGGCCUCUUCACUCAAUGCUGAUCUAAAUCGGCACUAUGUAAGUCUAAUAUUUCCAAGCACCUAAACGUCUAAGACAACUUGUCAAAAAUCUAAACCAUUCUAUUCAAGUGUUCAAUAUCAUGCCAGUACACAGAAUUCAGUAGACACGUACUCCACCAUCUCAUGACUUCAAUCCACUUACUGGCAAAGAAAAUGACAAAGAAGCAACAUUAUGUUGUAAAGAGUCACCUUUAAUUGAGCUCCCAGACACAUGGUCCUCUCUCAGUUUAAAGUUUGCUGGAGGUGCUGGGAUAGAGCUCCGCAAGGAUUGAACUGUUUUAAUUAAGAGCAUGCACAUAAGAAACUUGAUAAACAAAUAUACAUAUUAAAGAAAUAGGGGCAAAAUGCCAAAGAUAUUUAAAGAAGAAGCUACUUGAUAGAUCAGAAAGAAACUCAUAGAAAUGAAAAUAACAAGCCAUUCCAAAAGUCCAUAUAUGAUCCUGUACUGCAGAACUUAGGAAUUGAAGUUUUGAUGACUAGAGUCCUUAUAGCUAGUAGAGUAGCUAUUAAACCGAAUCUCUAGAAUAAAUUUUCUAAUGAAACAUCUCAAUCAUCCAAAAUUUCUACUGGCAUGCAUUUGUAAAAUUUCAAUAUAGAACAGUAAAUUUGUGGAAACCAUCAUAUGCACCAAUCACAAAUAAAAUUGAUAUAGGCAGAAGAAAAAAAAACUAAGCUAAACUAGUAACUAACAGUAUUUAAUCAAAUAAACAAUAUCUAGGCGAACAACUGUCAACUCAAACAACAAAGGACUCUGCUACAGUUAAUCCAACAAACAAAAAUGAAGAUAUCAACAAAUAAUUAAAAACUACAUGUGUGAGUGUGUGUGUGCGUGUCUAUGUCUGUAUGUUAACCUUGUUCGUUGAAAAAUUCGCUCUCAUUGAAGCUAUCAUCUGAAGGAUGUCCCUGCGAUGAUCCCAUUCUUGACUUCCUAAGGUCUUCUGAUGACCGAUUGGCAGUAUCACGCCCAUCUUCUGUGUCAUCAUCUCCCUCAGAUGUGGUAGCAGAAAUCCAGUCAACAAGAGUUUCUGCGCCACGGCUUUUCCUUCCAAAUUUUAGUAACCUUUUAAAGCCUCUAGUCAUAUCCUUGCGUGACUGAUUAUUGGAAGAAUUACCAACCAGCAUUGGUUUCUGAGCUGCUCCCCAUUUCUUCCUCAUCCGAGCUGCAUCAGUCUCAGUUUGACUCAGAGAAUGCGAAUUCCAAGAUGCAGGACUCCCAACAGGGGAAUCAACAGAGGCAUCAACGUCAGACGUCUCAUGAGAAUAAGCAAAUGAAUGAUGAGUCCGUGAAUUCCACGACACAGGGCUCUCUCCUGGUGAAUCCUGUACAUUUUCAGAAGGAUGAAAACCAGAAGGAACUGCAGCAGCUAAUUCAGCCACUAAUGAUGAGUCCACUUGCGCAAAGGAUCUCACAAUACCAUUUUCUGAUCCAAAAUUCAACUUCAGCGACUCCUGCUCCAGCUCUGGUUCACCCUGAUGUUUAGUUACCGCUGUCUCAAACUCCUCCUCCUCUUCAUCUUUGACUAGAUCCGCUGAGUCUUCUCCCUCAAAGGCCAAGUCAUCAAAGUCAUCCUCAUCAUUAGUGAUAUCGGAUGCCAUUUUGGUAUUCUGCAAAGCAAAAGUUGUUCUGGCUCCAAGAUCCAUGCCACUGGCCUUCUUAAGGAAAGAUUUAGACUCUGAAGUCUUUGAAUACUUGAAAGAAGAAUUUUGCUCAGUCUCGUCCUUGUAAAAGUUUUGUGUUGUCAAAGAAAUGCCCUCGGAGUUCAAUGGAGAAGGCUCUCUGCACUCAGCUGAAUUUGCUAGGCUCUUUCUCAGGGAUUGUGAUCUACGUGACUUUUCCUCCUUGACAAAUGAAGUGUCUUCAUUGGCACUUUUGCUGCGGGUAUAAUUUCUCAGUUGUGGCCGAGUUGUUCUACUGGCUGUGAAAGAAGGUUUCGUGUUUUCUUUCCUCAGAUCAGAGAAAUUGGGAACGGAUUGUGCAACAGGAUUUUCCGACUGCAUCUUACGCCGGCCAGAAAUACUGGAAGCUCGAGUUGCAGAUCUUGGAACAGGUGCUGCAGUCAUCCGAGGUGUGGAUGAAGACAAACUUUUUGUAGGUAAACUCUUCUUACUCUUAGGUAAACCAUCUACAAUGGAUGUCUCAGUGAAGGACCCAUCCUCACGAUACAAUUUCUUCUCUGGAAAAUCAGAUGCACCUUCAUCGUCGCUUUGCCCAAAAUCUAACUGCUGCUGCCAAAUGGAAACUUUUUGAUGGUUGGUAAUAAAUGACAGGAAAAACUCCAAUCAACACCUAGAACAAAACUAAAUGUUUUAGUACCAUUUAUAACCAAUUAAAAGUAAAACUAUACCUGCUCCCUUCUCAUAAUUGAUCGCGUAUUAAACGAUCUGAGCCUCUCUGCACGUCUACAAGCACUGAAUACUGAAUCCUGUCUAUCAGAAGAUACUGAAAAUUUAGCCUUCAUCUCAGAUUUACUACGCUCCAGGCUAUCCUGCAUUGCCUUCAACUUGGCUUCCUUCUCUGCUCUAUUGGAACUCCAAUCUUCCCUAAGCUUUGCAUCCCUUUUCUGCAUAUAUCUCUCAUAGAAUUUCCCUCGAGAACCAUCUGGAAAAUUAAGCUCAGAAAAUUUCAUAUUUUCAACAUCAUUAUGAUCCUGGCCACCAACCACUUUCACCACAGGAACAUCACUGAAUUUGGCCAAGUUUUUUGAACUCUCAGCAGGCUCAGAUAAUGUGCCAUCAUGAGACAAAUGGGCAGUAUCGGUAUCUGCAGAUGAUUUCCUACAAGGUUUUGCAGGUGAGUCAUUUUGCCUGUCAAUAGGCCUGGUCCUCCAUGUAGUAUUAGAUUGAUCUCCAGGAGCCCGCAGUUUGUGCUCAGCAAAGAGCUUUUCAAGUUCAUUAGCUUUCAUUUUCAGCUCAUCAUUCAGCUCCUGGUUUCCUUUUGAUUGCCUAACCCUAACAUGUUCUGGAGGUGGCGUUGAAAAAGAAUCAAAGCCAUCCUGAUUCUCAGUAGCUACUUUACUAUGGAAAGAUGCCAUAUUACUUCCAUAAACAGGAACACUAUCAUCCUUCCUGCCCUGGGUUUUCUUGAUCAGUUCAGAGGCAGUAAUUUGCUUGUCGAACUUCAUCCUCUCGGAUCCAGUUCCUUCAAGUUUUAUUGCAGUAACACCACUGUUCUUCUCAGCUGAAGCCAAUUCUUUCUUUUGAAUAUCCUCAGUCUCCAAACAGGACUCAAACCUCAGUUGAGAAGAUGAUACUUUACCUGCAACUCCUUUGUGCUGAGCAGCAAAAGCAUCUCGUAUUCUUGAUCCUGAACCACCUUCUUGUGGUGCAUAUUUACCCACUGGCCUCUGGGGGGCCCUCGAAUAAGUUUGUGCUAAAGAAUCAUCUCUUAUUCCAACUUCCUUUUGAUCCGAAAGUUCAACUUGACUAGGUUGGUAUGGACCAAUAGCUGACCUUGUGUCACUGCCUUUUCCAGCAAAAUAUCCAAAUUGGGGCUGAGAAGUACCCUUGUCCUUGUGGCCAGCAACCUGUGCCUCAGAAAGUACUUGCCCUUCUGUUUUGACAAGGUCAUCCCUCUUUUCAGGACCCUUGAACUUAGGUUGAUUGUCCGAACGACCUUCCUCAGCUUUUCCACUUGGCAAAGACCUGAACUUUGGUUCAGAAUUUGCUAGAUCAUCCAAUCUGCUAUCCUCAGCCCUGUUAAGAAAUGACCUUGACUGAGUCUUCCCACGUGUUUGAUCUUUCCAAGCAGUGACACCAAUAACGCCUAAAGUAGAAUUUGACUUUCCUCCUUCAGAAGCCUCCCCUGACUUAUCAGAGGAAACUGCAGAUUGCCUCUCCUCAACAAUCUCCUCUCCCCCAGAACCUGCACUAUCAUCUACCCACUGAGGAAUGCUCCUAAACUCUGGCUUACCAGAACCCGCCAUAUCUUUCUGAUCCUCAGACUUGGAAUGUGAAACAGAAGACGAAGGGGUGCAAAGAGGGCUCUCAGUAUCCCUCUUUUCGCCACUCAAAUCAAUGCUCAUGUCACUAGCACCACUCCAUCUCCUCAACACCGCCUUCUCUACAGCAGCUGCAGAUGCAGAUGAUGACACAUCAGAAGAAAGUCUCUUGAUCUCGAUUGAUUUUCCUACUGCAGGCUUCCCACCAGAAUUCUCCUUCUGCUUAUUCUCAAACAAGUUAAUACGAUCCUGCACACUGAGCCGUCUAGAUGGUUGACUCACUGCAAUUGACAGGGCUUGAUCAAGGGCAGAAGGAGGAGCAUCACAGCUACUCUCUUUUUUCUUCUCUUUCUCAGUAGCAAGAGGGUCGUUUUGUUUGCUUCUUUCUUCUGGUUCUGUGCUUGCCUCUCCACUCUUUCGUAGAGAAAAGGAUGGUUUCAAUGUGGUGGCAAGAUUGGGAUGUUGAUACUUUUGGGAUGCGUCUGUUUCUUGUUGUUGGCCGGAAUGCUGCUGCUCAUGCCUCGGGGGUUGGCGGGACCCAAAGCGAAGGCUGUCUGGAGAAGUGGGCUCGUCAUCUACGGACAUAUCCGACCCAUACGAGGAUCGGAUGGCUGGGUCGUCCCCUCCGGCCUUCCAUGUAAGGAUCAAGUCCGGCCGUCUCUCGCACAAGGAUAUGAAUUUACCGCAUGCUUCGCUGCAAUGAAAUUGUAGUUGAACAAUAUUAGCCGUUAAUUGAAUUCAUAGUAAAUACUUGACCAAAUAUUACCAUAAUGAUUUUUUUUUUUUGGAGUUAGUACCUAAGGAUAAGCUUUGUAUGACAUUAUGUUGUUUAGCUUGUAAAAUUUAAUUUCCUCCUUUGCUCAUUAAUUUGAAUUUUUUUCUUCUUUUUAUUUUAAAAUUUUUAAGUUUUUAAGGUGCACAAUCAAUAUUUGUUCGAGUAAAGACAUUUGAGUCCCAAUCCUCGGGUAGAUGAUGUCAACUGCAGCACAACACAAGGGUGCCGGGACCGAUGGCAUCCAGGGAAAUUGGAGCUUUUCAUCUGGCCCUGUAGAGAAAAAUUCUAUACGAGCCCAUUCACAGUAGACUUUUUCAGCUAGUUCACUGGCCCAAUAAAAUAUACUGACAUCAAUUCAACUGCAGCUUGUCUUUCACCGUGCCAUGCUAAUGAGGAGUAGAAGCCUGAAAGAAGAGCAAACCAGCUUAAGGUAUUAACUCUGUUACUACAACGUGCAAUUCUGCUUACACAACCUACGACCCUUUCGUUUCAAGAAACCAAGAUAACCCUCCAAGCACAGGUCUUCAUCUUCCUCUAGGACCAAAACCACAUUAGCAAACUUGCUAAAUUCACAGCUGAAAACCUGUCUUUACAAACUUCUUUUGAGAAAUAAAACCCCACCAAGUUUCAUUCCACCACAAGAGCCAGAGCUUCUCUUUUGCAUGGUUUUAACAUUUUGAAACACUGCAGUCUGCACCUCCACCUCUCUCCCAAACAAUUACAAAAAAAAGAAAAAAAAAAACUAGAGGAGCAAGGGCAAUUAAUACAAUAAAUAUGUGACAGAGUGCAUACACCAAAAUUUGGCAGUUGACUUGUUCAUGUACCAUCAUACAUAAAGCCACUGACCACAUAAAUUAGGCCAAGACACAUCUUAUUUUCUAACCAAGCAAACAGGGAAUUGCACGAGAUAUCCUUCAAUAAAGCAUAGCCUUUGAUCUAUUUCUCAUUUUAAUCUAAACCUCAUAAUCUCUUUCUCUGGUUAAAUUUUACUUGUCAAGACACGUCAUAGGCAUCAAUAGUCAGUGGUCUGAAAACACUUUAAACCAAAUCCUAGAACUGGAAAAAGAGAAUCAUGCCAAAAGACGACCAUGCUGAGCAUUUUCUAUUCAUCUUUAUAUACAGCAUAACCAAACAUCCAAUCCUCAUUGAAGCUUUGGUCUAUGCAGCUUUUCAUUUCAGAGAAAGCCAUAGAGAUUUUCCAAUAAAUUCAGUGUACAGCUUACUCUAACUUGGCAUUUUCCACCAUUUCUUUAACUAAGCAAUUAUGAAACACGAGAUCAAAACAGUACUAGCCCCCCCCCCCCUUCCUUUCUCCAAUUAUGCAGAAGAAAUUAAAUAAGCAAGCUGAGAACUGCAAGCUAUACCUGAUGAUCUUGCAGCAGUUUAGACACAAAAACAAGCUUCAGCUUCAAUGUCUUAAAAAGUCCAGAAAGAACAUUUUUCCUUAAUUUUGCCUUACUUUAAAUGCUUCACAUUUGUUAUCUGGAAAUAAGCACAUGCCUACAUCUAAACACAAGCACAUCUCUGCAGGCAUGUGCAAUGUGGGCACAGAUGGAAGAAGUUGGUAAGGAGAGCAAGAAAAAUAAAAUGAAAGGAUAUCAAGAUCUUACUUUAAGCGUAGGGCACCAAAAUAAUCUGCAAACAUUUGAAGGUCCAAGACUGUGUCUGGAUUGAAACCGGCAGCAGUAGCACGAGCACAGGCUGUUGUUAGAUCCUGCUGGACUGCAAGAAGCCGCACAUCAAUAGCUCUCAACAAUUCUUUCCUGUUUAAACAGGAACAUGUUCAAAUCAAAGUCAAUAAUUACAUACUCCUAAAGCCAAAACCACAUGCUACAAUUUAGCAUUUUAUUGGUGGAAAGUAAAUAAAAAGAGACACAUAUAUCUUUACACACAAGGCACAAGAUCUGUGAGUGUUUCAAGUAACAACCAUCAUUUCUACUAGCUGGAUAUCAUACAUUUGUGUUAGCAUUUUAAUCUAGUCGAUUAGUACAAUGUAAUCUUUCUUCUUUUGCCGUCUAUCACACUAAGAUUUAAAUGCAAUGCCACCUAUUCACUAGUCCAUUCACCAUAUAACCGGUAGAGUGACCUCCCAGGUUCUAUUCAUUAGAUCAAUCAUCCAAGUUCAAGUCAAAUACCACUUGACAAAUCAUGUAGACAAAAAGAUGCUCUUCUAUACUUUCAUUUCUAAUUUUUGACCUAGCCAUGGAGGCAAACUGGCAACAGGAAUGGUCUGUUAGAUAACAGGUUUAACCAUACAGCAGCCCAUUAUCAGUUUGUUAAAUAGGUAAAAUUGCCUAAUAUGAAGACAUUCACCACACUGCUAUAACUAGCAAAGUAGCAUUUCUCCCUUUCAAUUUUCAACAACAUAAUAUCUCAUUGUCAAUGCAUUAAAUGAGGUUUAGAUGAGAAUUGAGGUGUAUGAUAUUCCAAGAUGAAUUGAGAUUAUGGGAAUUUAUAUGGGUUACUGAAGGAAUAUAUGUAAACCCAUGAGUUAUCUCAUAAUCUUAAACAUUGAAGAGCAGUUCACAAGGCCCAGUUAACAUUGAAUGCCAGUUGUCUUGAGCAUUUUUUCUUUUUUUGGCUUUACAAGGUAGCCGGUGCACAAAACUGAAUAGUACAUAUAAUAUGCUAUGGAGGAGUAACAUAAACUAAUGCUUUAGUAAGUAACUAAUAGGCAAGUUAUUUCUAGUAAAUUGAUAAAGCCUUUAGAACCAAAAUGUUUCCAAGUCUUUGAGAUGAAACCUCAAUAAUUUAUUGCACCUCAUUUUCGUGUUCUACACACACAAGUAAGAACUAGGAGUUAAAGGAGCAAUACAUGCUAGCCAAAGGAAUAUCAGUAAUAGGAUUGCAGACAAUUUUAAUAUGUUACAAUAGGAGGUAGAACACAUUCAACACGGAUGCAGUCUAUGAAUUUAAUAUUCCUGGAAAAACCUUCAGAUGACAUAUGCUUCUAAUUUCUCCAUUCUGCCAUUGUAGUUCUUUUUUCUCCCAAUUAUCCUGUCAUUUUCUAGAUAAAUGUUUUAGAAACAAGAAGCAUAGACCUAAUUAGGGAACAGAAGAAUCGAAAGGCUGAUAUGAGAUAUGACUACUGCUUUCUUUUUGGUUUUUCUAUCCACUAUCCUCCGGCAAAUGUGUAUGCUAGUUAACGUACAAUAAUAUCUGUAUAUCUUAUGCAUUGCAAAGGUGCUAAAUGAGCCACUUCUCUCUUAGGAUUAUGGACUAAUUUGAUUUAGUAAACCAGCUAAAUAAACCUUUAAUAGAGUUCUUGCACGUGCUGCAUAUGUCGCAUGCAUAGCAUUCAAGGAUGAUUAAUUUUCAACCAAUAUCAUAAGUUUUGUAGCAUCAUUACCCACAAGUUUCCAACACUACAGACACAUUUUAGGGAAUUAUAUAGCCAUUUUAAAAGUAGGCCAAAGAAACCUCUCCGUUUUGCAACAAAAGAAGACAGAGGUCAAGGCUUGAGCCUUAUUUAAGAAGCUUUCUUCACUUCUAUAAUACAUUAGUGAUACAAGUAACCAUAUUAGUGAAAUCACUCUUGGUGGUGUUACUUUAGCUCAACAAAAAGCAACUAAGGCACAAAUCCGUACCAUUGAAAAGGAAACUAAGAGCCAAAUAAAGAAAUGGAAUCGAAACACUGCAAGACAGAGAAGAAUCAAUGGAGAGAGAGAGAGACUCGUUACUUUGUUGCAUCAGCUGCUGCUGCGGCUCCAGAUCCAAGCCCACCUACAUCAACCCCCAAAUGCAAUAUCAAUCCAAUAGAGUUUUGAAAUCAAUCCCUCAAAAAGAAUCUGAGGGCAAUUAAUGCUUCUGAUUUACAGCUAAACUCUUAAAAAUAUAUAUGCCUUGUGGCAGAAGUGCAUGAAGCUAAGCACAAAGUCAACACAGCAGAUACGAUAUUACAGCAAUAUUAGCGUGAAAGCCAAGAUAGUGAAGCUUCCAUGUAGAUAGGGCUCCAAUUGCUUGUCUUGUUGCACUAAAAUGCCUAUUUACAUAGUUCUUGCUACACAGAAUCCUUAAUGCAGGUGGACAAUCAUGCAUAUGGUGCAAUAUUUCUACUCUCAAUCUCCUAUACGUGUCAAAACACACCCAGAUAACCCUUAGUGCAGGUGGACAGACAUGCAUAAGGUGCAAUAUCUUUCCAAUCUCAAUCUUCUAUAUCCGUCGAAUUACAGCCAGAUUCAACCUUAAGACAGAAGAGAGUGUACAGGAAGUAUUAGGCAAGAAUUAGUUGAUCUAUUAACUACUUCUUCACCAGGAAAUGGCCACAAAAAUUAAAUGCUCUUUCAUUGUGCAUAAGUGAACUCUUAUAAUCUAUAUUUGCAAAAGUGACCAAAGAGGAAACUUGCCCCAUACUUAAGACGAAAGCUAAGAACAGCUUGCAGGGAGAAUGCAUAUCUACAACUAACAAUAAACUUAACAGACAAAUCCAAACAGUAGGCAACAAAGCUUACCAGAACCAGAGAGCUGUUGUCCAGUACCCUGACAUUUUAGGGAGCAAAUCAUGAGACCUUUCUAACUUGGUGGGAAAGCCGGCAAGUAAAAUCCUCAAUGUACUUAUUUAGAAGCAUGAAAGAGUUAAUACCUGCGAAUAUAUUCUUCGAGCUGAUUCCAACUGGGACAUCUCUGUAUCAAAGGUAUUGGCCAGUUCCAAAAUCUCUGGCGUGCUAACAAACCGCACAAACCUGGAAUGAGGGACCCCCAGCAUUGUUAAAGUGCAUCUGUCUGGUGAAAUGAAGUAUUCAUCUGCAAGGUGCAUUAGUACCUCUCGAGUGUUCCCUUGGUGAACCACACUUCAGCAUUUUGCUGCCGCUCAAUUUCGAGCUUUAUAGAAUGAACUGACAUCGCCACCUGCUCUUCUGCAACCCUUAAAUUGGCAACAAAUGGCUUCACCAAUCCUGAUGCCAAUUUCUCCGUGUUUCCACCACUGGAUACAACCAACUCACAUCUGCAAAAGGGAACUUCAGUAAUGAAUUAAUUGAGGAGCUAAAACCUUAAUAAUCAGACAUAAGAAAGGGAGCAUCUCACCGAGACCGCUUCGGUGACAGCUGGAAGGCAACAUAAUCAAGAGGGGUAUCAGACUUCAUCGCUGGGCCUUAAUUAAAAAACUCACAACCUUUGUUCCUCUUCUUUCAUAUAAAGACUCGGCGCCGCCAAUUAAAUCCCAGAGUUAGAUCAUUCAAUUACCUUUCCUCAAAAAUCUUAACCCAUUACUAUCUCCUCCUUAUUCUGCCGAAUAGGUCCAUGGAAGGAAACCCCGUUGUUAAACGAAAAAGUUUCGGCACCUGAAAUUUGAUACUCCAAAAUGUAGAAGUGGAACAACAAAAAUCAAAACACCGGUUAUGCAAGUGACAGAUCCUAUAGUUCAAAAUCCUGGCUUCGUCAAAUGUACCUAAAAUUGGAGCAUUUAGCCUACAGUAGAAUUAACUAAGAAUUCCUUCAGAUCUGAUUGUACACCCAAAAAAAAAAAUCAAAUGCCAACCAAACCAGGUUGCUAAACCUACAACUAAGCUUAAAAACAGUGCCACUAUAGUUGGCUGAAACUUAGUUCACGGGAGAAUCAAUUAAAAAAAAAUCAUCAAGUAAAAACAAAAAUGGAAGCACAAUUAAGAAAAUGAAAGAAAAAUAAAUAGAGAAAAAUGCGGGACGAUCGUGACAAUCGAAGCCUACCAUGGAAACUGGGACGAAGAGAUCUUCAAAUUCCGGUGCCGGAUCAUCCAAUUGCGGUUCGCAUCGAAGCCCGCAUUUCGGUUGCCGUAACAGAAAUGUGGAACUUUAUCCUUUUUUUUUUUUUUUUUGGAAAGGAAAGGGGGGAGGGGUGGCGUUGGGGAUAAGUGUGUUUGGGUUUUUGGGGAGGGGAGGGAGAGGGAGAAGGUUUUGGUGGGUUUACUCAGGGCUGGAACUGGAAGGAAGCCCUAGAAGGGGAGUAGUAAGAUAGUUUUUGUGGUGUUUUGUGGGGGAGGGAGAGGGGUGCGUGUAGGUAGCUUUACUCCUCCUUGAAAGUUGAAACUCAAGGAUAUGUUGUAGAUGUAGUACCACUGAGUAUCUUUUUCUUUCUCUCUCUAAUUCUUUUGAGUUUGAGGAGGAGGUGGGGUUUGUGGGGAGGAAGAAUGGAGAGCGGGAGGGAAACGUAGAGAGAGUAGUGCUGUUUGUCGUUUGAUGAAUGAAAGUGCUCCUCCUUCAGACAAACCUUACAACCACCUCGUACUACUUUCUCAUUUUUACUCUCCACUCUGCAAUUAAACCCAUCCCUCUUUUUCUAAAUCACCUCUUUCAUCUUAUAUUAUAAUACAUCCUUAACGGGUGAUGAAAUUGAAACACUUACGCUGCCGCUGCCGCCGCCGGAGACAGAUUAGUACUGCUGUUGGAUGGAUUUUCACUUUUCUGUUCUGUUUUUUCUUCCUUCUCCUGUUCAGGUACCACUAAAGCAGUUACCAUUUUGUCUCUUUUCCAUAGCUUAUUAUUUUAUUUAGUUGGCAAGUCUUUUUUUUUUGGUAUUUUUAAAUAAAUCAAAAUCAAUUACAUAUCUUUUUGGUUUUUAACUAACUGUUUAUUACUAAUAAUAAACACGUACAUCACAUCAUCGAAUCACAAAAACUCAAAAAGUAAUUGGGUAAUAUAUUAAAAUAUAUUAUUGUUUUCCAAAUAAUAUCCGACCCAAAUAGGGUAAUUAUUCUGUCUUUGGAUGGACUGCUACCCGAGGCAAUUUCAUCAUCAUGCAUGCAUAAUCCGCCGUCAAUCCUUACCUUCAUUUCUACCCCAAAAAAACUUAAAAAGAGAGAGAGAGAGAUGAUGGUACGUACAGCAGUGUAUGUAUGGUGAAUCAUCAUUUCCUGUUCCUAAAAUCGAUGUAAACAGCCAAACACUUCACUAAUAACCAUGUUCUAACCUUUUUCUUAGCUGCCUGCCAAUCAACAACGUUCUUUGAAACAUCAAUUGGCCUGUUUGGAACCUGAGUUUUUUGAGAGUUUGUUUAAAACUUUAUUGUAGUGCACUGUAAAAGUUUUUGAAAAAAGUUUGUAGAAGUUUUUGUAAGGUGAAAAACUUUUUUGUAGAAGUUUUUGAAUUGUUACUGUAGACGUUUUUUGGAUUAUUUUUAGAGGUAUUUUUAAAACAUAUUUUUGAGUAUUUUAUAAUUUAUAAUUUUUAUAUUUUUAAACAUUUAUGCAUUUAUAAUACAUUUAUAAAUAUUUAAAAAUAAAUAUAUUUUUAUAUAAAUAUAUAAAUGUAUUAUAUUAUAUAUAAUACGUAAUUACAUAUAUUUAUAAAUGUAUAAAUGUAUAAUUAAUAUAAAUAUAUAAAUUAUAAAUGAAUAUUAUAUAAAUGUAUAAAUUAUAAUUUAUAAAUGUAUAUGAUGAUUAUAUAUAAAUGUAUUAAUAUAAUUAAUAUAAAUGUAUUAAUAUUAUGUAUAAAUGUAUAAUUAAUAUUGUUUAUAAUUUAUAAUUUUUAUUGUUUAAAUAUUUAUAUGCAUUUAUGCAUUUAUAAUACAUUUAUAAGUAUUUAUAAAUAAAUAUAUUUAUAUAUUUAUUUAAAAAUAUAUAAAUAUAUUAUAUUAUAUAUAAUACAUAAUAUACAUAUAUUUAUAAAUGUAUAAAUGUAUAAUUAAUAUAAAUGUAUAUAUUAUAAAUGAAUAUUAUAUAAAUGUAUAAACUAUAAUUUAUAAAUAUAUAUGAUGAUUAUGUAUAACUGUAUUAAUAUAAUUAAUAUAAAUGUAUUAAUGUAUUAAUAUUAUGUAUUAAUGUAUAAUUAAUAUUGUUUAUAAUUUAUAAAUUUUAUUGUUUAAAUAUUUAUAUAUAUUUAUGCAUUUAUAGUACAUUUAUAAAUAAAUAUAUUUAUAUAGUUACAUAAAAAUAUAUAAAUUUAUUAUAUUAUAUAUAAUACAUAAUAUAAAUAUAUUUACAAAUGUAAUAAUUGUAUAUUAUUAUAAAUGAAUAUUAUAUAAAUAUAUAAAUUAAUAUAUUAUAAAUAUAUAAAUAUAUAAUAUUAUUUAUAAAUGUAUUAAUAUAAUUAAUAUAAAUGUAUAAAUGUAUUAGUAUUAUGUAUAAAUGUAUAACUAAUAUUGUGUGUCAAUAUUAUGUAUAAAUGUAUUAUGUUAUACAUAACACAUAAUAUAAUUGUAUAUAAAUAUACAUAAAUAUAUAUACAUAAAUGUGUAAUGUAUAUAAUAUGUAUUAUAUAUAUUUAAAUAUAUAAUAUAUAAUAUUUAUAUAAAUGUAUAAUUACAUAUUUAUAUUAAUAUUAAUUUAUAUGGUAUAUAAUAUUUAUAUAAAUAUAAAAAAAUAUUUUAAAUAAAAUAAAAUAUUUAUAAUAUGUUUAAAUAAAUAUAUAAUAUAGAUAAUAAAUUUUUGAGGGUGUGGGACUCAAAAAUUCAAAAAAAAAUUUUGAGGUUACCGGCGGCGCCGGAAUAGGUGACCGGCGCCGGGAGAGGUGGUGGAGGCGGUGUCUGGUGUGGUGGGUUGGGUGAGGGAGGAAGAAAAGUUUUUGAGAAAUUUUUUGUGUAUAGAGAUUUUUGAAGUGUGUAGGUAAAAAAUUUUGAAAAGUUUUUUGGGAUUCCUGUAGCAAAAGUUGUUAAAAAACUAGUAGCUAAAAAACUUGGUAAAAAACUAGGGUGCCAAACAGGCCCAAUAAGUAGUAAUCUUUUUUGAUGUAUAAUAUAUAUAUAUACAUAAUAAAAAGAUGAUUAAAAAUAUGUUUAUAAUGCAAGUAAAUAAAUUUUUAGACAAAAAAUCUCAGCGUUCACUAAACUAUUGGUUAGAUUAUGUUCUGGCCAUCAAAUUAUUUUUGGUCAGUAAUUGGCCACUAAACAACUUAAUCAGUAAAUUCGUGACCAUUUAGUCGAUAAUUGCUCUUAAUAUGUGAAAUUAGCUGUACACGUGGCAAAGUGCAGGGUAAUUUUGUCCAACAAUUACGCUGCCCUAUUUCACAGAUUAACUGCUAAUUUUACAAAUUAAGAACAAUUAUCGAUUAAAUGGUCACGAGUUUACUGAUUAAGUUAUUUAGUGGCCAAUUACUGAUGAAAAAUAGUUUGAUGGCCAAAACAUGAUCCGACCAAUAGUUUAGUGGCCGCUCAGGUUUUUUACUCUAAAUUUUUAUAAGUAAUUUAUUAUCCAAACAAUUUAUAUAUCUGUGAAACGAUUGUGUUGAGUUGUAAUAUCAAAGUGUGUUUUCUAAAUCUGGUGUUAGAUACAUGUGUGCAUAUAACUUUAAAGGGGUUAAAAUGCAGGUAGUAUUUUGCACGUCCUACCUAGUGCACAUGUACAUGCUUUUGUGAACUAAUAAUGAUCGCAGCGUGAGAUUUAGCUCUUUUUCUUUUUUCUCCGAAAUUGAUUGUAUAAUUCUUAUAUAUCAAGUUAUCUACACUGAAGGAGGAAUGAAUCGACUAAUUGUGAGAGUCCCAUAUUCAAACCAUCUCAUUUACACUAUUAAAAAAAAUUAUCUAGAACUUCCGCGAAUAAUCUUUUAGUCGACAUCAUAGUCUGAAAUUUUAUUUUGGUCACUCUUCUCAUAACAAAUAUUAAUUGUUGGUUAUUUAUCGGGUUUUUUUUGGGGGGUGCAGUGGGGAGGGAGGCAGCAAGUAUUGUGGGGGAAAAAAAGGCAACGGAAAUGAUGAUAAUUGAUUAUGGGCAUUGUCAACUUUCUUAGCCAACACACUACACAUCCCCCAACUUGGUAUUGUUGACAGAAGCAUUUUUUUUUUUUUUUAUAACAUGUAAUAAGAACAUCUUGCACGACGACAAGUUUAAUAACUAAAUUAUCUUUUGUGUGUAAAUACCCUACACUCGUAUCAGUAGUAUACCUUUGUACACAUAUUUUAGUUACAGAUAUGCCCCCUUGAGUUACAGUGGCCACCACCUAUUUAAUGGGGUGGGAGGCAAGGGUCGACCUUGUCUCCCACCAAAAAUACCAUAUUUCAGUGAUUUGUCUUCAAAAAAUUCAAGUGGGUGUGCCGUACGGCGUACAUCUGUCUGGUUCGGUGGUGGUUCAGUCCUCUCCGAUUUAUCCCUGAGUCUCCUUAGGUCCGCCUCUUUCCUUUUAGUGUAUGAUAGAUUAGGUUUAUCAUUUUCGAAAAAAAAAAAGUUAACAUUUCUCACAAAUAAACAAAGAAAAAGGUUUCCCCCCCCCCCCCCCCCCAAUAAAGUAGAAAACAUUUGCCUUGGAUUGAAUCACUAGUACCAAUUCCCGCAUGCCAAAUUCAAACAUAACUAGCCUACCCCCAUCAAACCAGGACCGGUUUAUAGUUCUCAUCUGGCUUUAGUCAAUAAAUUUUUUUUUUUUUUUUUUUUUUGCAGAAUUCAGAUUUGAUUUGUAGAGCCCCCUCCGAAAGCAUUACAUAAAUAAAUUUUUUUUUUUUUUAGAAAAGUUCAACCAAUAAAGGGUUAUUGGUCGAAUUACAUAAUCAAAACGUCAGUUUCUUUUUUUUUUGUUAUCUUUUUCCAAGCAAAUCAGUUCCAUCUGUGGAUUGGCAUUUGGCAUGCUGAGCAUUGAGCACUAUGAAUCGCCCAAAAGAAGGACGGCGCGCGCUUCAGAAAAAAGGAAUGCCGCGUAGGUGAUACAAAGAACUUUGACAAGAUCUGCUGCAGAUUCCGAUUUUAAAAUUGAGGUCCGUUCGAAAACGACGGGAUGAGCGUCCCCGUGCCUGGACGCGAGCCAGGUUUUUAUUCUUUUAUUCUUUUUUUUAAAAAAAAAAUUAUUUGAGAUAAAUUUUUUUUAAAAAAAACACACUACUGUGUCACUUUUUAAAUAUAAUGUUCGUGAAAUUAAAAAAUAUAUUGAUGAUACAAAUAAAUAAAUUUUUACAAAUUGUGCGAAGAAGUUAUUUACAGUGUGAGUGAGCUUUUUUAUUUGGUUAAAUCCGGUAAAAAAAAAAAGCGCACAUUGAAUUCGAUUGUCAAGAUCUCACUUAAUUAUAUUCACGAACUAAUUUUCAAGUGCAAUCUUUUUGUUAAUUUUUCUAAUAUUGUCAUUAUUGCCUUUUAAUCCCAGGACUUUGGAUUAAAUCAUUCAUGCGAGUUAUUUUUUAAAAAACAUAGGAGGCGUCGUAGGAUUUAAGGUUAUUUUUUUCUUGGCGCAAAAUAGAAGUAAAAGCUUGCAUGAUGUGCAUGCACGAGGCGAGCAUAAGAAACUCAAAAAAAAAAAAAAGAAGUUCGUGGGGUCGCAUCGCAUAGGGCCCCGAAGGAUGGUUGGAUCACAAAUGUGGAGUGGACUUGCUACAUUCUUCAUUCCAGCAAUUGAACUUAGAUUUGAAUUUAAAGGCAGGCAGAGCCAGAGACAGCUCCCCACCUGUGCGGUCGGUGGGGCACGUGACUGCAAUUCUUGACUCGUGAUAGCGAAGACAAUUGAAAAGUCGUUAUAGAUGUCUCAACAUCCUAGAUUUCAUCCAUCAGGUCUUGCGUUAAAAGUUUUACUACGAGAGAAAGAGCCUGACCAUGGGUUGGCAAUUAUUUUUAGGACAGCUUAGUUUGGCUACCAGAUUAGCGCUGCUAUUUGGAGGUUGAACGAGUCACCGCCAUGCCAAUGAAGCAUGCAAGUGAAACAAUCCCAUCAACACACAGAAUUUUUCGAGAAACUUCUGUGAUGUUGCUUUGACAUUGACGUACUGUGAUAUAUAUAGUUUUCUGAUGAGGGUGUGUUUGGAUUGCCUUUGAAAAAUUGUUACGUUUUUUAUUUAAUAUAUUUUUUUAUUUCAUAUUUAUUAAAUUGUUAUAAUAAUCUUUUUAUAAAAAAGUCCACAAAAAUACAAUUCAAACAAAGCUACUUAAAGAGACUGGAUGGAAAAUUGUUGUCUAAAGGUACUAUUUUAUAUAUCACAAUAUGUGAACUUUGGUCGCUAUAAAUAAAAAAUACAGUAUAUGUUGAUUAGUACAUUUGAAUUGUAUCUAUUUUAUUAUUUAUUAACAAUUAUUAUUCUAUUUUAUUCUUAUGCACUUCACUCGUCUAACUUUACUUUUUCUAUACACUGACACUUGAACCCAUCUGACAUUCAUAUCGUAUGAAUAUUACGCCACCAAGCUCAUGCGUAGCGUCAAACCAACUACUUUGGCUAAUAUUCAAUGGUUUUGAUUGGCUGAAUUUCUUGCGGACAAAAAAUAUAAAUUCCAGAAAAUACAAGGGUUCUUCGGACUACUAACAAAGCCAAUCUAAGUAUAUUAAUUUUGGAUAACAAAACAAUAUUAGUGUUCUUGAUAACACAACGGAUAGACAAAAUUUGCCAAUGAAUCCUAGUCAGGAAAUAUUUUUUUCUCAAAAAAUACCCUUCAUGGAGGGAAAAAGCCCGCUCUUGCUAGUGUAUUUUUGUCUCUUCAUUUUUUUUGCUUCAGUCUUGCAUGUUUCACUUCUAAUUCUUCAUACUCCCUUUGUAAAUAUUUUAGCUUCUUUUUUUUUUUUUCAGAAUUCUUGAUUAUAGUAUAGCAUAAAUUUCUCUUCCAUUGUCUCAAAGUUCGAGGUCUAUCCACUUAAAAUAACCACGUGUUUAAUGAUUCCAUAACAAAGCAAAGCAUAAAUUUUUUAAAAUUAUUUUAUCUAAAAGUUAAAAAAGACAUUAAUUUAUCAUACAAAUCAUACCUUAUAAUUUGAACAUCCAAGAAAUUUCUUGGUGUCCAUGGCCUUCUUAAGGUGCUAAUUGACCGCAUCCACAAGUUUCUUAAUUUGGUUCUGAUAGAUGCUAUGACGAAUAACAUCUAAAAGAAACACAACAAAAUGAAUUUGAAAACAUCUGGGACUUUUUUCCCCCUUUUUUGCUGCAAAUAUAUAAGACUUGAAAGUUUAAAAGCUUUUUUUGUUGAAUGAUGAAAUUAUAACAGAAAUAUUUUUGGUCUUGGGAGGAGACUUUUCUUUAUAUACAAUAGAUAGGGGCAUUUUCGUCAAAAAAAUUGAACAUUUUAAAUGGGUCAUUUUCAUCUACCAUGAUAUUUUAACGGGUCGUUUGCUGAGCUGGAUUGUAUAGGAUAAAAGUGCCAAAAAAUACUACUCCCUAUAAGGGGAUUUUAAGGGUAUUUUUCGUGAUUUUCCCUAUAAUUUGUAGCGUUCGUAAAAUACUUGCUACUUGUAUUAUCCGUAUCUUUAUCCUUAUACCAUCACAAGCGCUAUUAGUAAUUACUGCUCUCAAGUCUUCUCCGGCCCUGACAACCGCCGGAAACUUGACGGAAACAAUUUGAAUCUAUUUCUAGGGCCUUGGUUACCUCCGAAAUCUUCCUGAAGACAUCGGAUACAAAUUCUUACAGCAUUAUACUUCUUCGUUUUCCCAGGUACGCUCCCCCCCCCCCCUUUCCUCCUGUCUCUCAUAAAAGUAGUUAUUUGAACAAUGCAUUUCUUCUGUUUGGAGUGGUUUCGUCAUUAAAUUCUGCAAUUAAUUAUGAUUUUCCCUUUUUCCCCUGCACCUCCAUUUGGAACGUAAGAGUUGUUAGCAUUGCCAAAAAUUCACGCUUCCAUGUCGGUGAUUUUAAUUGCGCCAAAUUUCAUAUUGUUUUCAGGUUAUGAGUAACUGCAAUACUAGGUUGCUUAGCCUAAAAUCACGCUCGUCAUGAUACCCCUUUGUUGUACUUAAUACAUUUUCUAAUAGCAUCUAUUGCCCGUCAAAGAACGUCCCUUUCAAUAUGCUGUACUACUAAUUGAAAAAGAAAAUGUCAACAGUAGAACUUCUCAAGUACUGUUAAGCUCAUUCGUUUAGCUAUAUGCCUGGUUUUCUAUUAACUAAAAAUUGCUUAGGGGAGAGGAAGGGGAAGAAGCCUGGAGGAAUGGGGGCAUACUUUUUCUGAUCGUCAUUUUGAACUUGUUCACUUUGCAUUUUCAUAAAAGUUAAUGCAGCUGAACUUGUUGAUAUCAAACACACGACCAUCCCGUAAAUACAGUGUAAAGUAAUGUCCAUCUGUUUAAUAGCGCAAGACUGAUUUCUUUUGUUUGGGCGGUUAUUUUUUCAAUAGCGUUUUUUUUAUUGAUUCAGUGCCCAUCUUGAAUCAGUUUCAUCAAUAUGUCUAUCGAACAAAAAAGUUUCAUCAAUAAAACGACUUGCUUAUUCAAGAUCGCAGUUCUUUUUGAUAGGUUACUUAUUUUUUGUUGCUUACACGGCUUUUGGUGUUAGAUAACAGUAAGAAUAGUGUGGGAUUUAAAUAAGGCUAAGGGCAUUGGUUAAAGGUUUAAGUCAUGAACUUUUUCUGCAGCAAGUUGGACGUUGAACUUUUCUCCAAUUAUGUCAUUCAAGGAGUCGGCAUGCAAAUUAUGAUUUGUACUAAUUGGUCGUUAUGCUUUUCUCCAUUGUUUUUGUGUUUGGUGAUAUCUACUCACCGAAGUUUGUGUUGGAUGUUCCUUUCCUGAGUAUCAUACAUGGAUUGUUGCUCUGGUGAACUGUGGAGAUCACCAACUCAGACAGAUUUGAUAUCUUUUUAGACGGUUAAAGAUUUGAAAUUCCUAUUAUUAUUUGUUUUUAUUUCCUCAUCAUGUUGACCCCAUUUGACUUUUUGCACCAUUAAAGAAGCAGUACUUCAUUAUCAUUUGAUUAAUUUCCAUUGAUUGGUUUCCAAUUCAGUUUUUUAAACUUUACAACCUCAAAUUCAGUGAAGCUGUUAGGAGUUCUUGUCACAAACUCUAUACCUUGACUAAUGCAUGAAGUCUCUUCUAGAAACAGGUAAAAGAAAUGCUUUACACCAUUUGAAAUAUUCCAAAAGGGGAUUAAAAUAAAUGAUGAGUGCAUAUCAUAAGUCAACUAGUAAUGUUUUGGCUUGUCAAAGGAUUGGAAUUAUCCUUGCUGAACCGUGGGAGACAUUACUUGAUAUGCCUACCACUGUACUACCUUAUUAGUAAUUCUAGCCCUGAUUUCCAGGGAAGAAGUACCUUUUUUGAGGGCCUUCUUUUCUUCCUUUGGUAAAUCUGAAAGAUUCCUGAUGUACUGUGUCACUACUUUGUCUUUACAUCUUUGAAUUUACUUUCCCCCCAGUGUAUCAAUGCGAUGAGUCUUCUUCUCCUUCUCCUUUUUUUGUGGCCCCACUCUUAGAUGAAGAUUGCACUUAAAAAAAAAAAUAAAAAUUGCACAGGCUAUUUGACAUAAUUUUGGGAUGAAUUAGUCUGAAUUUGGUGUAUUAUGCGAACUAGAGUAAAGAAGACCUGUUUCUAACUUUGUGCCUUAUAUCAAAAUGUCAUAGAAUUGCUGAAUUUUAUCUAAAGCAGUCGCUCAAGGUGGCUUUGGAGCUUCAAGAAAUGAUAAUUAGAUUCUUGGCUUGACAUAUUAGAUGACAGUCCAAAGAUGGAGUUCUUUUCCCAUUAAGCUGAAAAUUGGAUAGAGGAAGUUAGAGAGAUCUUGAAUUGCUCGUGGACUCCUUGUACUUCUACUGUGGUUUGGGUUUGAUGGUUGGUUUUGGUAAUGCGAACAUGUUAUCUUUAGCUGCUUUUUCCUAAUUUCUCUAGUAUCUCCAUGUAACUUAAGGAACAAAAAAAAGCAUAUGAAUCCUCGCAAUCACUGAUGUACUGGUUCCUUUGUUAUCAAUCUCAGCAGAUAAACUAAACACAAUAGAAACGUAUCAAUCCCUUGCUGGUUUCUGAUUUCUAGUUUCUAGUUGAUUUGCAUUGGAGUAUUUGGUAGAUUAAAUAAGUGCUAAAUUCGUCUGAAGAGCUCUUUUCCCUGUUGAUGUUCCUCUGUUGUAGAUGGUGUUGAUCUUUUAGUAUUACUGCGCUUCUUUUGGGACACCUUCAGAAUUUAGAGUCUGAUGUACAUCUUUAUGGCUUAGGCACAAACCAUAUUAAGCAUAACGUCACAGCAUAAGUCUAAGUGCUUUUCUCUUGCUUAUAAAGCAUAAUUUUACAUGUCCACACAUUAAGUAGGAUUCUGGAACCCAACCCAGAGAGGUUUAUUUUAAGCGUUAACUUGUAACACCUGACUGCCACGCACUUCUACAGCACUAGGAUAUGGUAGUUAACAUAGGCCAAUUUUGAUUGCGAGUAUGUGCUUCAACUCGCCCAAUUUUCCAUGUUUGCAAAUUGCAGGUGAUUGAUGGACAAAAAUUACAGCUUUCCAGGGGUUUGGUUUGAGUACGUACAUUCAGAAGCUGUUGAUGACAGAGAUUGUUGAUGACAUCACUUGAAAAUCCAGUACUAGAAUGAUGCCUUGUUCUUGCCUCUGCUUGAUUUAACUUCCUCUAUUGAGCUGAUGUACCUCUUUAAAAGCUGUAGCUAUUUUAUCACACAAUUAAAUCAACAAAGGGGCCAACUUCCUCAUAUGAAAUGAGUGGAGUUCGUGGAAUAUUGUUCCAAACUUGUUGAAAGAAGCUUCAUAGUUUAUCGCAAGAUGAUCUCAAUAAAAGUUUGAAGCAGAGGGUUCCUGAGAUAGAGAAGGAAAAAAGAUGGAUGCCCUGAAAGAAUUAAUUUUUCAUUGAUGUUUCUGAAUCAAGAUCAUCUUUUGAUGCUGCCAGCGUGACGAGUGACCCUCACUGCCGCCGGAGCUGCUCCCUUUGCAAAGCUUCUGAUGAGUCCGAGUUUCAAUAGAUGAUUGAGCAUGGUCAAGGAGCUGCCGGGAUACUCGCUUCUAAGAUGUGCUCGCAGAGGACUGCUGAACCAUUUUAGUAAAAAGCUUUUCCAUCGAAAUGAGGACUGCUGAACCAUUGCUUUGGGAAGAAACUAUGGACUUCAAAGAUGCGCUCGCAGAGGUUGUACAACUAGUACUCGAGUUGAAGAAUGUGAGAGUCACGGAUAUGAAUAGCUUCCCCUAGCAGGGAAGAAAGGUAUGUUCUAGUCCCAGGUUAGAUGAACUUGCAAAUGUUACCGGAGGCGGCCUUCCUAACUGUAUACAUCUGGCAUGAUUGAACUAGUUGCUAAGAAGGCUAAUCUCUCAUAUGUUAAAAGAAAAGAUCGACAGAAUGUUUUUUCUAAUUUACCCCAUAUGUUCAUUGCAAUGACCGUUCAGAAACACGAAAUGCAUUUUCUGUGAGCUGGCAAAUGCACGAAAGAAAAGCGAUUGAUGAAUCUUCAGUUGGGCAUUUAAUAACUUGUGUAAUGGAGCAUUGUGCUCUAACAUAGAGUGAAUUCUUGAAACUGGUUACAGAGAGGAAAGAAAGAAAUGAGGAUAGAAACUAGCAAUUGCCUUGAUACAGACACAAAUUUCUAUUCAACAACAUGGGUGCUUCACCCGGAGAUUCAACCCAAUCUAACUUGAGUAAAUCUAAGUUAUAUAUUCUUCUAGUUACUGCUAUCACUAUGGUGGU